rnacentral:rRNA from 1 species
AGUUGUAAUUUGCAGAGGAUGUUUCUGGCGACGCGCCUUCCGAGUUCCCUGGAACGGGACGCCAUAGAGGGUGAGAGCCCCGUACGGUUGGAUGCCUAGCCUCUGUGAAACUCCUUCGAC